rnacentral:rRNA from 1 species
UCUUGGUCAAUUUAGAGGAAGUAAAAGUCGUAACAAGGUUUCCGUAGGUGAACCUGCGGAAGGAUCAUUAUUGAAAUUAUAGGUGAGGGUUGUAGCUGGCCUCUCGGGGCAUGUGCACGCCCGAGCCCUUAAUCCACACACACCUGUGAACCUAUUGUAAGGGCCCUUAAAAAAGGCCUUUACGUCUUAUCAUCAACCCAUCGUAUGUCUCAUAGAAUGUAAAUAUAUGUCCUCGCCUUAAAAAGCGUUGAUAAACUUAUACAACUUUCAACAACGGAUCUCUUGGCUCUCGCAUCGAUGAAGAACGCAGCGAAAUGCGAUAAGUAAUGUGAAUUGCAGAUUUUCAGUGAAUCAUCGAAUCUUUGAACGCACCUUGCGCUCCUUGGUAUUCCGAGGAGCAUGCCUGUUUGAGUGUCAUUAAAUUCUCAACUCUGAUUGAUUUGUUUCGACUUCGGAGCUUGGAUUUGGAGCGUGCUGGCGUCGGUCGGCUCCUCUUAAAUGCAUCAGCGGAAUCUAACGUUUCGGACGUCAGUGUGAUAAUCAUGUUGCGCUGUCUGUCUGAUCCGAAAGCCCGCUCACAAUGGUCUUCGGACAACUUCAUAUCAAAUUUGACCUCAAAUCAGGUAGGACUACCCGCUGAACUUAAGCAUAUCAAUAAGCGG